rnacentral:rRNA from 1 species
GGCCCAGAUCGUUUACCGUGAAAAAAUUAGAGUGUUCAAAGCAGGCAGAUUCAAUUUUCUGCCACCGAAUACAUUAGCAUGGGAUAAUGGAAUAGGACCCUGUCCUCCUUUUUUCAGUUGGUUAAUUCAUGAGAGAGGAACAGGGUAAUGAUUAAUAGGGAUAGUUGGGGGCAUUAAUAUUUAAUUGUCAGAGGUGAAAUUCUUGGAUUUAUGAAAGAUUAACUUCUGCGAAAGCAUCUGCCAAGGAUGUUUUCAUUAAUCAAGAACGAAAGUUAGGGGAUCGAAGACGAUCAGAUACCGUCGUAGUCUUAACCAUAAACGAUGCCGACCAGCGAUUAGGAGACGUUGAAUACAAAACACCUCUAUAUAUAAUUCAGUAUAUGGUCAGUCAAAUGGCUGUGUAUUGUUUGUAUAUAGUUUACGGUGAAUGACUCCCCUAGCAGCUUGUGAGA